rnacentral:rRNA from 1 species
GACGAACGCUGGCGGCGUGCUUAACACAUGCAAGUCGAACGGCAAGGCCCUGCUUUUGUGGGGUGCUCGAGUGGCGAACGGGUGAGUAACACGUGAGUAACCUGCCCUUGACUUUGGGAUAACUUCAGGAAACUGGGGCUAAUACCGGAUAGGAUCUCCUGCUGCAUGGUGGGGGUUGGAAAGUUUCGGCGGUUGGGGAUGGACUCGCGGCUUAUCAGCUUGUUGGUGGGGUAGUGGCUUACCAAGGCUUUGACGGGUAGCCGGCCUGAGAGGGUGACCGGGCACAUUGGGACUGAGAUACGGCCCAGACUCGUACGGGAGGCAGCAGUGGGGAAUAUUGCACAAUGGGCGGAAGCCUGAUGCAGCAACGCCGCGUGCGGGAUGACGGCCUUCGGGUUGUAAACCGCUUUCGCCUGUGACGAAGCGUGAGUGACGGUAAUGGGUAAAGAAGCACCGGCUAACUACGUG